rnacentral:rRNA from 1 species
UACGUAGGUGGCAAGCGUUGUCCGGAUUUAUUGGGCUUAAAGGGUGCGUAGGCGGUCUUCUAAGUCAGUUGUGAAAUACUUCAGCUUAACUGGAGAGGUGCAAUUGAUACUGGAAGACUUGAGUACUGAUGAGGUAGGCGGAAUGGACGGUGUAGCGGUGAAAUGCUUAGAUAUCGUGCAGAACACCGAUAGCGAAGGCAGCUUACUAAGGAGUAACUGACGCUGAGGCACGAAAGUGUGGGGAUCAAACAGG